GAUGAAGAACGUAGCGAAAUGCGAUAACUAAUGUGAAUUGCAGAAUUCAGUGAAUCAUCGAAUCUUUGAACGCACAUUGCGCCCUCUGGUAUUCCGGGGGGCAUGCCUGUUCGAGCGUCAUUAUAACCACUCAAGCUCUCGCUUGGUAUUGGGGCUCGCGGUUCCGCGGCCCCUAAAAUCAGUGGCGGUGCCUGUCGGCUCUACGCGUAGUAAUACUCCUCGCGAUUGAGUCCGGUAGGUCUACUUGCCAGCAACCCCCAAUUUUUACAGGUUGACCUCGGAUCAGGUAGGGAUACCCGCUGAACUUAAGCAUAUCAAUAAGCGGAGGA
rnacentral:misc_RNA from 1 species